AUUGAACGCUGGCGGCAUGCUUUACACAUGCGAGUCGAACGGCAGCGCGGGCUUCGGCCUGGCGGCGAGUGGCGAACGGGUGAGUAAUGCAUCGGAACGUGCCCAGUAGUGGGGGAUAGCCCGGCGAAAGCCGGAUUAAUACCGCAUACGACCUGAGGGUGAAAGCGGGGGGCCGAAAGGCCUCGCGCUAUUGGAGCGGCCGAUGUCGGAUUAGCUAGUUGGUGGGGUAAAGGCUUACCAAGGCGACGAUCCGUAGCUGGUCUGAGAGGACGACCAGCCACACUGGGACUGAGACACGGCCCAGACUCCUACGGGAGGCAGCAGUGGGGAAUUUUGGACAAUGGGGGCAACCCUGAUCCAGCCAUGCCGCGUGCGGGAAGAAGGCCUUCGGGUUGUAAACCGCUUUUGUUCGGGAAGAAAUCCUCUGGGCUAAUACCCCGGGGGGAUGACGGUACCGGAAGAAUAAGCACCGGCUAACUAC
rnacentral:rRNA from 1 species